ACCAUCUUUGUCUUGGGGUGAGCUGCUGCUCAAUGAACGCAUAGUGAGAACAGCACUGCUAACAUCACAGACGACACAUACGUGCCACUAGUGUGCAAAUGCUAGAAUGGUACAAUUUUUGGAACC
rfam:Xenopus laevis strain J chromosome 9_10S, whole genome shotgun sequence.